CGUCUGCGAUUGGUGAAAUGUUCGAUACGUGCAAUCCGCGAUACGCACGAUACGCUCCAUGGGACUCCACCCUUAAGCUGGCAGCCGAAGAGAGAGAAAGAGAGAGAGACUAGAGGUUCUCUAGUAGGGGUACCAUAUAACGACAUAACCAAAAUAUUUUUUUGAUAGCUAUUCUUCCAGCACGUGUUGUAAUUUGAAUUAUCAUCAAUAAUGGUUUACUAUUUUACAAGUGAAGUGGUACAGCCAUCGGUCACGUUGUUCAUGGGAAUUGACAAGUACGAGAACGAAGACCUUAUCAGGUGGGGUUGGCCAGAGGACGUAUGGUUUCAUGUUGACAAAUAUUCGUCAGCUCAUGUGUAUCUUCGAUUGCGACACGGUCAGACAAUAGAUGACAUUCCUAGCACAGUGCUAGAGGAUGCUGCACAGCUGGUGAAGGCAAAUAGCAUUGAUGGGAACAAAAUGAACGACAUUGAUGUAGUAUACACAAUGUGGUCGAAUUUGAAGAAAACACAAGGUAUGGGAGUUGGCCAAGUCGGUUUUCACAAAGACAAGGAUGUUCGUAAAAUUCAUGUUGCCAAGAGAAUCAAUGUUAUCGUGAAUCGUCUCAUUAAAACAAAACGCACAGAACAAGUGGACUUCAGAGCUGAAAGAGAACAGAGAGAUAGACUUGAACGAGAAGAUAAAAAGAAACUUCUGAGGGAACAGAAAGAAAAAGAAAAAGUCGAGGAAAAGCGACGUCAGGAAGAAGCUGAAAUGAAGUAAAGUUACAAUUCUUUAUUUAAUACGUCUAAUAUGACUUCAAAUACAGAAACCAGUGGAUAUGAUUCCGACGAUUUCAUGUGAUUGAAACCAAUGCUCGCAUUUGUAACAUGUGCCUAAUUUAGAGAGUGCCCACUCUAUAAGGUACUCACGGCUGUCCUUGUCGGAAAUACGCAAUCGUACAUAUCGAUUCCUAGCGCGCAGCACACAACCAAAUCAACGGCGAAUCCGACGCCCAUGAGAUAACGCGGUUUAUUUUUGGGAAGUAUGUCCGUCGACAGAUGCACCAUUCUCCAAAAGUCGUCUUUGCUCUCGCCACCACUGCAAAUCGUUAAGAACGAUUGUCACUGUGUAAUGCGAAUUACAUAUGCUACAUGUAAGGAUGUUUAUGUUCUAUAUAAAUUUUUUUCUGUUCCAACUUGCGUGUUAUUAAAAUUGCUGAAUAAUCUGAAA